GAUGAACGCUGGCGGCGUGCCUAAUACAUGCCAGUCGAGCGAACAGACGAGGAGCUUGCUCCUCUGACGUUAGCGGCGGACGGGUGAGUAACACGUGUAUAACCUACCUAUAAGACGGGGAUAACUUCGGGAAACCGGAGCUAAUACCGGAUAAUAUAUUGAACCGCAUGGUUCAAUAGUGAAAGACGGUUUUGCUGUCACUUAUAGAUGGAUCCGCGCCGCAUUAGCUAGUUGGUAAGGUAACGGCUUACCAAGGCAACGAUGCGUAGCCGACCGGAGAGGGUGAUCGGCCACCCGGGAAGUGAGACACGGUCCAGACUCCUACGGGAGGCAGCAGUAGGGAAUCUGCCGCAAUGGGCGAAAGCCUGACGGAGCAACCGCGCGUGAGUGAUGAAGGUCUUCGGAUCGUAAAACUCUGUUAUUAGGGAAGAACAAAUGUGGAAGUAACUAUGCACGUCUUGACGGUACCUAAUCAGAAAGCCACGGCUAACUACGUG
rnacentral:rRNA from 1 species